rnacentral:rRNA from 1 species
UACGUAGGGUGCAAGCGUUGUCCGGAAUUAUUGGGCGUAAAGAGCUCGUAGGCGGCUUGUCGCGUCGGCUGUGAAAACCUGGGGCUCAACCCCGGGCCUGCAGCCGAUACGGGCAAGCUAGAAUUCGGUAGGGGAGACUGGAAUUCCUGGUGUAGCGGUGAAAUUCGUAGAUAUUCGCAGGAACACCAGUGGCGAAGGCGGCUUACUGGUCCGAAACUGACGCUGAGGUGCGAAAGCGUGGGGAGCAAACAGG